CAAGAGUCUUUGUUCUGCAGCGCUGUGCAGCGCUUAUCAAAAUUAAAGUGCAGAGCAGCUUUGAUAAUAAAACAACUCACCGCAAAGGAUUAUUAGCAGUUUCCUUAAUCAUGGCACGGACGCACAUACUUGUGCUUGCCGUGGCGUUUACGCUCGCAGCUCUUGUCGGUGCGGGGAAAGUUGAAAAAACGAUAGGAAAACUUAAUUUUUCCAAAGAUGUGGAUGGGAAAAUUAAAUUGACUGUUAAUAGGAAGGUCGGAGACGUUUCGUUUGACUUGGGUCAGAAUUUCAAUUCUGGUGGCACCUGUCAUGGAUGAAGGGGCUGUUUCGAGGGACAUCUACCUUCCAGACGGUAUUUGGCGCGACAUGAAUACACAGCAAGUGUACGUUGGCCCAAAUUGGCUCCGAAACUAUCCUGCUCCUUUAGACACCCUGCCCUAUUUUGAGAUCGCUGUUAUGAACGGCGCGAUCAAUGUUGCCACAAACAUGGCACUCACGACUUUGCUUUUUGUAGCAAUUUUUCUUUUGAAUUAAAGAAAUUAACAUAGGCAAAAGUUUUUUUUACUUUGUGCUUGUAUUAUUGUAUUUUUAAUAAACAAUAAAAAUUUCAUAUACAAACAGACAA